rnacentral:rRNA from 1 species
AAGUCAUAACAAGGUUUCCGUAGGUGAACCUGCGGAAGGAUCAUUAACAAAUCUGCUAUAUGGCGAGCCCGAAAGGGACCGCACAUAUAUAUUUACCCCGAGCUGGUGUUGCACUUUUGUGCAAAGGCCAGCUUUGGUUGGGCAGGCCUACCCUUUACGGGGCGGGACUGUUCCGGACAGUGCUUGGAGGCCGCAAGGUUUUCGGACGCUGGCCACAUUGACGCUUGUAUGUUUGACAGAGUUACAGUUGUAAACUAAAAAAGACAACUUUUAACAAUGGAUCUCUUGGCUCUUGCAACGAUGAAGAACGCAGUGAAAUGCGAAAAGUAAUGCGAUUUGCAUGAAUCUGUGAGUCAUCAAGUCUUUGAACGCACCUUGCACCGUAUGAGCAAUUGUACGGUAUACCUGUUUGAGAAUCGUAAAACUCUCUUUCCACUAGUUAGUGGAAGAUUUGUCGGUUGUGCUGCCCUCACGGGUGGUACUCUGAUCAAAAGUAAUAGGUCUUGAUCAGGCUAGUGGCCUGGGACAUUGUGUGCUAGAGACGUCGCUUCGGCUGACUGUCUUCUCACAAUGCGUCCUAGGCUAUCCAAAGCUGGCUUGUCGAAAGGCUUUACAGUGUCUCUGGUCCCGUCAAACGGAUCUGGGUCACAACUCCAAAUUUUGAUCUCAAAUCAGGUAAGGCUACCCGCUGAACUUAAGCAUAUCAGUAAGCGGAGGAAAGAAACUACAAGGAUUCCCCUAGUACGGCGAGCGAAGCGGGAAGAGCUCAAAUUUAAAAUCUGGUAGGCCUAGCCUAUCCGAAUUGUAGUUUAAAGAGGCGUUAUCUGGCCUUUGCUCGGUGCUCAAGUCCCUUGGAAUAGGGCGUCACAGAGGGUGAGAACCCCGUCUGGGCACUGGGUAGAGGUCUAUAUGAGGCGUUCUCUACGAGUCGGGUUGUUUGGGAAUGCAGCUCAAAAUGGGUGGUAAAUUUCAUCUAAGGCUAAAUACUGGCAAGAGACCGAUAGCGAACAAGUACCGUGAGGGAAAGAUGAAAAGCACCUUGAAAAGGGAGUUAAAUAGUGCGUGAAAUUGUUAAAAGGGAAACGAUUGAGACCAGUAUUGCUGCCGGUCGUUCAGCGUCGUGUUGGUGCAAGCCUGCGCGUCGUGUAUUCGGUCGGUAGCGAGUCAGCGUCAGUUUGGGUUUCCGGAGAGAGGUCAGAGGAAGGUGGGAUUCGGCUUUCGGGUCAAUCUUUUAUAGACUCUGGCUGGCACGGGAGCCUGGACUGAGGUGUGCGACCGUAGUACUCUCAGCUUGAUACUAGCCCCCAAGGCCUUGGACUACAUGUAGACCUGGGUCGUAAGGGAUAGAGGUAGGGCUGAGCAUACGGUUCCAGGAUGCUGACGAAAUGGUCUUAAACGACC